GUCUUAAAGAAUAUUAAUUUUAAGUCUAAUCUGCCCAAUGAUUAAAUUAAAUGGCUGCAGUAAAUUAACUGUACAAAGGUAGCAUAAUAAUUUGUUUUUUAAUUAAAAACUAGAAUGAAAGAUUAAAUGAAAUAAAAACUGUUUCUUUUAAAUAAAUUAAAUUUUUUAUUUAAGUUAAAAAACUUAAAUAAAUUAUAAAGACGAUAAGACCCUAUAAAAUUUUAUUUUUUUAAUAUAUAAUUUUAUAUUAAAAAAAUUUUAUUGGGGUAAUAAAAAAAUUUAUUUAAUUUUUUUUUAAUACAACAUUAAUUAAUGAAUUUUUUAUCUUAAUUUUUAAAUUAAAAAAAUUAAUUACUUUAGGGAUAACAGCAUAAUUUUUUUUAAAAGAUCUUAUUAAUAAAAAAGAUUAU
rnacentral:rRNA from 1 species